rnacentral:tRNA from 1 species
GGAGAGAUGGCCGAGCGGUCGAAGGCGCACGCUUGGAAAGCGUGUGUAGGGCAACCUACCGUGGGUACGAAUCCCACUCUCUCCGCCA